rnacentral:lncRNA from 11 species
UUUCACUGUUUGGAACCUUCAUAAAUCAAUAACAGAUACUAUUUACUCACCCUGGCCGUCGCUGCUUUUAUGCUUUCAAUAGAAUACCCUGAACACCGUUGUCAUAGCUACAGCAGAAUUUCCGAAUGAGUUUUGUUUUAUCAUAAUUGCUGCAUAUUAGUUUAUAAACAGCUGAGCUGUAUCUUCCACUUGUGGCAUUAAUUUGAGCCUAGAGACAAUGCUCUCCCCACAGGAAACACAACAACACCAUCCGAUGCACUAUUACCAAAAACGAAUAUGCACAACGACUAACACAGAUGACAAAGAAGAAAAGACAGAGAGAUAACAGCAGGAAAACAUUGGAGACUGAAUCAGCAGCCCAUCCCUAUUUUAAAGAAAAUUCUGAAUGGGAGUCUGUCCUUCUCUGGAAUCUGGGUUUCAGCAAUGCUGUAAAAGAAGCAUGUCCUGCAUAAUCCAGAACAGAAGGGAAGAAGCUAGACUCGGCAGCCACAUGGGCCAUUUCUGGAGAAAAAAACAUGGUAGCUGAACAAGCCAGAUUGGUCAAAGGCAACCGACCAACCUGAAUGUGUGCACAAGCCUAGUUUGUAAACAAAAAACCUUGAUAUUUCAGUGGAAGGAAGGGACAAAGAUGUUUCACUGAGGACAAGAUUUACAGCAAGGUUCAAAGUUCUUCUCUUAGACAGUUCCAAGAUUAAAUUAUUAAAAGCAAUACAUUUUUAAAAUAAUAAGUUUCCCUAUCCUUUUCAUUCUUCACAACAAGGAGACAUCUAAUACUCUUGAGGUCUACUAAAAGAAGUAGGCAGUGCAUCCUUGCCAUCCUUUGGUGGUUCCCAUCCAUGGGCAGGAUUUUCUUGUUUCAUCUUUGUACAGUUAUUACCAAUGCUACAUUCACCAAGGGACAGAGGAAGCAAACAUGUGAAAGUGACUUCAGGACUGCAACUUAUUUAGGGCUUCUCAGUUGUUUAUAGCAAGAUAACUACUUCAUUUACUUUAAUUCAUUGUUAAGUUCUGAGGUGUCAAAGGUGACUGGUAUCUAAUUAAAAAGCUAUAGGGUCUGUUGUAAUUAGUCUUUUAUUUCCCAUUGAACAUUUCACCUAUGAGUAUUUCUGUGCACAGGUUUCCUCUUCAGGGCAUUUUAAUCUCUCUGAUUACAUUGGGCCUGGAAAGUUUUCUUUAACUGAGAUAACAUUAAAACCCAC